rnacentral:rRNA from 1 species
CGGCGGACGGGUGAGUAACACGUGGGUAACCUGCCUGUAAGACUGGGAUAACUCCGGGAAACCGGAGCUAAUACCGGAUAGUUCCUUGAACCGCAUGGUUCAAGGAUGAAAGACGGUUUCGGCUGUCACUUACAGAUGGACCCGCGGCGCAUUAGCUAGUUGGUGGGGUGAUGGCUCACCAAGGCGACGAUGCGUAGCCGACCUGAGAGGGUGAUCGGCCACACUGGGACUGAGACACGGUCCAGACUCCUACGGGAGGCAGCAGUGGGGAAUUUUGGACAAUGGGCGCAAGCCUGAUCCAGCCAUUCCGCGUGAGUGAAGAAGGCCUUCGGGUUGUAAAGCUCUUUCGCAAGGGAAGAAAUGUUACGAGCGAAUAACUCGUGAUAAUGACGGUACCUUGAUAAGAAGCACCGGCUAACUACGUGCCAGCAGCCGCGGUAAUACGUAGGGUGCGAGCGUUAAUCGGAAUUACUGGGCGUAAAGCGUGCGCAGGCGGUUUUGUAAGUCAGAUGUGAAAUCCCCGAGCUCAACUUGGGAAC